AUUGAACGCUGGCGGCAGGCUUAACACAUGCAAGUCGAGCGGUAACAGAGAGUAGUUUACUACUCUGCUGACGAGCGGCGGACGGGUGAGUAAUGCCUAGGAAUCUGCCUAGUAGUGGGGGAUAACUUGCCGAAAGGUAAGCUAAUACCGCAUACGUCCUACGGGAGAAAGCAGGGGACCUUCGGGCCUUGCGCUAUUAGAUGAGCCUAGGUCGGAUUAGUUAGUUGGUGAGGUAAUGGCUCACCAAGACCGCGAUCCGUAACUGGUCUGAGAGGAUGAUCAGUCACACUGGAACUGAGACACGGUCCAGACUCCUACGGGAGGCAGCAGUGGGGAAUAUUGGACAAUGGGGGCAACCCUGAUCCAGCCAUGCCGCGUGUGUGAAGAAGGUCUUAGGAUUGUAAAGCACUUUAAGUUGGGAGGAAGAGCAGUUAACUAAUACUUGACUGUUUUGACGUUACCGACAGAAUAAGCACCGGCUAACUUCGUGCCAGCAGCCGCGGUAAUACGAAGGGUGCAAGCGUUAAUCGGAAUUACUGGGCGUAAAGCGCGCGUAGGUGGUUCGUUAAGUUAGGAGUGAAAGCCCCGGGCUCAACCUGGGAAUUGCUUCUAAAACUGGCGGACUAGAGUAUGGUAGAGGGUGGUGGAAUUUCCUGU
rnacentral:rRNA from 1 species